rnacentral:rRNA from 1 species
GUGCCAGCAGCCGCGGUAAUACGUAGGGGGCAAGCGUUGUCCGGAUUUAUUGGGCGUAAAGCGCGUGUAGGCGGCCAGGUAGGUCGGUUGUGAAAAUUGGAGGCUCAACCUCCAGACGUCGAUCGAAACCAUCUGGCUAGAGUCCGGAAGAGGAGAAUGGAAUUCCUGGUGUAGCGGUGAAAUGCGCAGAUAUCAGGAAGAACACCAAUGGCGAAGGCAGUUCUCUGGGACGGUACUGACGCUGAGACGCGAAAGCGUGGGGAGCGAACAGGAUUAGAUACCCUGGUAGUCC